UUGAACGCUGGCGGCAUGCCUUACACAUGCAAGUCGAACGGCAGCACGGGAGCAAUCCUGGUGGCGAGUGGCGAACGGGUGAGUAAUAUAUCGGAACGUGCCCAGUCGUGGGGGAUAACGUAGCGAAAGCUACGCUAAUACCGCAUACGAUCUAUGGAUGAAAGCGGGGGAUCGCAAGACCUCGCGCGAUUGGAGCGGCCGAUAUCAGAUUAGGUAGUUGGUGAGGUAAAGGCUCACCAAGCCGACGAUCUGUAGCUGGUCUGAGAGGACGACCAGCCACACUGGGACUGAGACACGGUCCAGACUCCUACGGGAGGCAGCAGUGGGGAAUUUUGGACAAUGGACGCAAGUCUGAUCCAGCCAUGCCGCGUGCAGGAUGACGGUCCUAUGGAUUGUAAACUGCUUUAUACAGGAAGAAACACUCCGACGUGUCGGAGCUUGACGGUACUGUAAGAAUAAGGAUCGGCUAACUCCGUG
rnacentral:rRNA from 1 species